rnacentral:snoRNA from 1 species
CUGGCCCUGAAUCAAGACCGGCAGCUUCCUGACACUGUUGGUUUCAAACAGGAGCCUAAAUCAUCUGUUGGCCAUUUCAGAACUUGGACAGUGAAAUGGUCAAUUCAUUAGAAACAGCU